UACGGAGGAUGCGAGCGUUAUCCGGAUUUAUUGGGUUUAAAGGGUGCGUAGGCGGGCUUUUAAGUCAGCGGUAAAAAUUCGGGGCUCAACCCCGUCCCGCCGUUGAAACUGGGGGCCUUGAGUGGGCGAGAAGAAGGCGGAAUGCGUGGUGUAGCGGUGAAAUGCAUAGAUAUCACGCAGAACCCCGAUUGCGAAGGCAGCCUUCCGGCGCCCUACUGACGCUGAGGCACGAAAGUGCGGGGAUCGAACAGG
rnacentral:rRNA from 1 species